UACGACGGGGGCUAGCGUUGUUCGGAAUUACUGGGCGUAAAGCGCGCGUAGGCGGUGAUCUUUGUCAGAGGUGAAAGCCUGGGGCUCAACUCCAGAAUUGCCUUUGAAACGGGAUUGCUAGAGUCCGAGAGAGGAUGGCGGAAUUCCUAGUGUAGAGGUGAAAUUCGUAGAUAUUAGGAAGAACACCGGUGGCGAAGGCGGCCAUCUGGCUCGGUACUGACGCUCAGGCGCGAAAGCGUGGGGAGCAAACAGG
rnacentral:rRNA from 1 species